UACAGAGGUCUCAAGCGUUGUUCGGAUUCAUUGGGCGUAAAGGGUGUGUAGGUGGCGCCGUAAGUCGGGUGUGAAGUUUCGGAGCUUAACUCCGAAACUGCAUUCGAUACUGCGGUGCUUGAGGACUGGAGAGGAGACUGGAAUUCAUGGUGUAGCAGUGAAAUGCGUAGAGAUCAUGAGGAAGACCAGUGGCGAAGGCGGGUCUCUGGACAGUUCCUGACACUGAGACACGAAGGCCAGGGGAGCGAACAGG
rnacentral:rRNA from 1 species